UAGCUUAUUUACAGUUGUCCUUUUUUGUGCUUUCCCGUUGCAGUGGGAAAGAGCCCCGGCAACAGAAAACUGAGUGAUUGUACAGACUGUGACAAGUACAGUUCUUCAUGUUUUAAUGCAGUCAAACAAUAAGAAUAAAUUGGGGAAAAAAACCCAAACCCUUUACCAAAUUCUCAAGACAGAGGACAUUGUCAUCUUAAAUACCCUGCCCGUUCAGGGCAGCAUGUGUGUCCUAGGUGCAUCUGAGCUGGCAUCACAGGUAUCCCUGGAAGUCUCCUCGCAGGCAAGGCAGGUGCUGGUAGAGUUUUUUUGGUGAGACUGAAGAGAAGCGGUGCAGCAGAGGUAGAAGAGGUGCCCUUGUAGUCCCCUAUUCCUCUGGUUUUGUAGUGUCCCAAAGUUAAAUAUGUCACUUAAACCGUGUCGCUGCCAGUGUGAUCUUGCAGUAGAUGAUGCUCGUGUGUUGCAGUGGCUACUGCGUGUUUUGCCUGAGGUUCCCAACGACACCGCCUGCGUGUUAAAUCGACGUCAAAACUCUUUAGGAAUAAAUUAGUUUCCUGGUUGUAGAACUUGGGGUGCAGGCUAAAGGAUGGCUUUUACCAUCCCCCAAAGCCACCCGUGCUACCUACAGACCUCCCACAAACCCUUAACGCGUCCGUGAGCACGUGCUACAGCAACGCUGUAAGGGAACAUCUGUGGGGGAAACGUAGGAUCCUUCUUGCUGAGAAGCCAUGCUGUGAGCCUGCAAGCGUGCCAUAUGGAAUCCAGACUAGAGCAUAGGCUUCCCGUGCAGCGGCUGGAGGAGAGGGGCCUGCGACAGCUCUACCUUUACUAAAAACCAUGGAGCAACGCUGAUUUGCAUCUAAGUAUUGAGAUUCCCCAUGAAAGCUGGGGACGGAGGCAGUUCAGCGCCUCUGACAAUAUUUUCAGGUGUCUCAUGGCAUCUUUCACCGAGAGGUGGCUGCUGAGUCUCUAAUCAUCCAUGACAGUCUGCGGUCAGAGCUGGGACUACACGGGCAACUGCUAGAGCCUGGAAGUGCAGCUCCUGUCGCCUCUUCAGCCAGCAAACAUCUGAGGAUCUGGGGAAAGGACUGUCUUCCCUUGCUCCUGGAGGAACCUCUGGAAGGCCUGCUCAGCAAGACACCACCUCUGGCAUGGCCCACAAGCCUCCACGGAGUUUUGCAGCAGGUAGAUUCUGUCAACCAAGAGACGUCGGCAUCUGCCAUCAACAGGACGUGGUG